rnacentral:lncRNA from 1 species
GUUGGGUUGAUGUUUAGACGAGUUGUAUAUACAUUAUGUACACAGCCAUGUAUCACCAUCAUUGAUGGCGAUCCGAUGGAUACAUCUGUUGUAGGGUUGUCACUGACUCAGACGUACUUAUGAAUAUAAUUAUUUUCUGUGACUGUAUCUUACAUUAAUUUGUAGGAUCCUUUACUAUAGAUAAUUCAGCUGAUCUGUAACAAUAACAUCUUCA